CUUCACUUUACUAAAUGUGACGGGUGAUUGGGUGAAGAUGAAACCAGCGACAACGAUCUAAGUGUGAGGCAUCAUCGUUUUAAUCUGCUCCAGCAGUUAAAUAAACUAUUUAAGGUAACGUUGGCUUGAUAUGUUAGCUUCCAUUGCCACCGUUGUUAUCAGCUAAUGGUGCGUUCACUUUCUCCUCGGAAAUUGUAACUUCCCAGUAGGAAAAAUCAAAUGAAAAAGGACGGCAAAAGGAAUGAAGAUACACAGUAAAUUUAGUUCACAGUAAAGAUGUUUGCUUCAGUUUAAUUAUCAGCUUAUAAAACUACAAGGACGAUGUUAAAAUACAAACAGUUGUAUGUUAUUUAUCGUGAUAUUUAUCAAAUAUGGUUAUAUAUUGAGAAAAAUAUAUAUUUAAUUAUAAAAGAGAAUUAAAAUAUUAAACACUCAAAAGUAUCGAAAAUUGGUACCGUUAAGUGCCGGUAUCGAUUCCUAGGUACCGGGAAUUAGUACCAGAUCGAUUCAAAUGUCAAAGGUACCCAUCCCUAACGAGCAUGACACGAGUAAAACUCGUAAAUAUCUGUAAUCGUGCUGAAGGAAAAUCCUCAUUGGGUAACUGACUGUCUUCACGCUCUGUGAUUGGCCAGUCACAGAGCGCCCGCCCCUCCCUACACACAAAACUCUCUAGCCGGCCGGGAGCAACUACCCCUGACUGCAUCCCGGAGAUUGGGGCGGGGCUAAAUGUGGGCGGGGUCAAACGUUUAGAGGUGGGUGGAGACAACUAUUUGACUCCUGCGUCCUGCCCCUCUCUCAAUGGAACCAGGAAACCGCUGUGUGUGUGUGCUAUGCUGUAGCCGGGACAGAGGGAAGUAGCUGCCAAAAUCAAGGUCUGAGGAAGACAGGGUGCAGGCACGAAAAAGACGGAGAGAGGAAAGAGUAAAACAGGGCCUGGAAGUGGUCCCUCCUAAGAAGUCCUGCCAUACUGAAUUAGUCUGUGCAGCAUCAGGUAUUGUUCAAACAAGUAUUAUUGUACACAACCCCCUAGGUUGUCGAAAUGGGAUGUGGGAAGAAUCAAGAUUCAACUUUUUGUCAUAUGUACAGCUAGAAAAACACGCUUUCUGCACAAUGAAAUUCUUACUUUGCCAAGAUUAGAAAAUUAAGACCGUUCCAGACGAGCACUUUUUUUUUUCAAAGCAAGUUUUUCAGUCAUUUCUCUAUUUUCAUUAAACCAGAAUACUAAGCAACUGAUCUUUUUUACAACUUGCACUGGUAAUAUGCUUUUUAUGAACCACAAUCUUUUUCCUUUCUAGCAGAGGCUGAGAACUUGCUGGAACUGGACACAGGGAACAGAGUAUGUUUUAUAUUGUUGGCUUUUCUUGUGUCAUUGUUUCUUCUCCAACCUCUAUUUUAAUUAGAGGUGUCAAAUAAUUCCAUUACUUGCAAUUAAUUUUUUACAGCCAUGAUUAACAUGUUAUAUAUUUUAAUUAUGUUAGUCAUUUUCAAUCUACUGCUUCUUUAUGGGACUUUUAAAUAAACCAAUUUCUUUUAUUUUACGCUUCUUGCUGGUGUUCUUGAAGGGUUGAUGUAAACUCAUAAGUUGAAGGGUUGACGUUACAGUGACAAGACCGGUGAGAGAUUAGCUGCAGCAGUGUUUAUUUCAGCGACCUUGUUAUCUUUACUCUGUUUUUUUCACCCUUCUUGCAACUUUUUCCAAAGUUAUUGUUACCAUUUGGAUGUAAUGGGUGUGUCACUGAGCAUCAAGGCUGCUGACAGCUUCUCUCCUGUAUCAGACGCACAUCCGUGCUGCAGUUUGGAAAGACCACAGCAUCAGCUGUUUGGUUAGCUGUUAGCAUUGAAAAUAAGGCUUAUAUUAUGUACAGUUAUUAGAUUAAAUUAAAAGAUUAGAUUACUUUCAGAUCAUACAUAAUUAAUGUAAAAUAUGUUUUUAAUCUCUUGACAGCAGUAAUUUUAAUAUUGUCUUUAUUUUUGAUUAGGAGAAUUAUCUGCUUGAGGACACCUUUGAGGCAGCAAGGUGGUGUACCACAAGGUCCUUCAAAAGAAGCCUUUCCCUUCCCCAGGUCAUCACCAUGGACAGGGAAGCUUGCCGGAGGGCAGUGGAGAGGUUAUGCUUCUGUGAUGGCCUAGAUGAAGAGGAGAUGAACGAUUGCAGGGAACCGUUCCUGUUCAUGUUUAGUUUUCAGUCAGACUAUGAGGAGUUCUGCAGAGAAAUUGAGGAAAAAAGGAAGAUCAGGGUGUUUUCUGGCUUUGAAAUGCCAUAGUACAGCGGUGUCACAGUUUUUGCAUUCUUUUUCCUCCUCACAUUGUUUUUUUGGAGGUUCUCUUGCUUUUUGUGUGCUUUUUGGUUCAUUUGUUUGUACUUUUUUUUUCCUGUGUUGGCUGUUUGCUCUAUUAAAUUUACCUUUUUUGAAAAAUUUAGUCUGCAUUCUUGGGUGUCUCACACAAUGUCUCACCACCCCGCCUCAAACCCUGGCAUGUUUUAAGAAGUAUCAGCACAAUUUAAGUCUCUGGUCCUCUUAAUGUAGCUGAUAUAACUGAGUGUACAACAAAUUUACCCGUGUCUGUACUGUUUUACACUCACUUGGGAAAUGACUAUUAAAAUAAAGGCGGCAUUGAUAAAAUCAACUAUUAAAAUGGUUUUGACAGGUUUAAAGAAUAGUCGAUCAAAUGCCUGAACCUUUUAUAUAGGUACCAAAAGUAUAGCUAAAAGACACAAAUACCUAUGUGCUAUAAAUACACAUACCAUACAAAAGUAGAAAAAAGAAUAAAAAUAUCAGAACAGAUUGGAUCAAAAAUGGCGCCUGUAAUUAUCUGCUCUUUAAAAUUAUGACAUCCAGCAAACAAGUCAUUUGAUUACCAAUGUUAUGCUUUACAUGGGUUUUGUGGGGUUUUAGGGCUUUCUAAUCCUUAGAAAGGGGCUACUCGCGGUUUCCUGGUUCCAUUGAGAGAGGGGCAGGAGUCAAAUAGUUGUCUCCACCCACCUCUAAACGUUUAACCCCGCCCACAUUUAGCCCCGCCCCGAUCUCCGGGAUGCAGCCAGGGGCUACUCGCCGGGAGUGCAGUCCGUCCGGCUCAUCCACGCACACACAGACAGUAACGGAUCUCGCUGUGCUUGCUUCACUGUUGCUCA